GUCGAACGGUAGCACAAAGAGCUUGCUCUCGGGAGACGAGUGGCGGACGGGUGAGUAAUGUCUGGGAAACUGCCUGAUGGAGGGGGAUAACUACUGGAAACGGUAGCUAAUACCGCAUAAUGUCGCAAGACCAAAGAGGGGGACCUUCGGGCCUCUUGCCAUCAGAUGUGCCCAGAUGGGAUUAGCUAGUAGGUGGGGUAACGGCUCACCUAGGCGACGAUCCCUAGCUGGUCUGAGAGGAUGACCAGCCACACUGGAACUGAGACACGGUCCAGACUCCUACGGGAGGCAGCAGUGGGGAAUAUUGCACAAUGGGCGCAAGCCUGAUGCAGCCAUGCCGCGUGUAUGAAGAAGGCCUUCGGGUUGUAAAGUACUUUCAGCGGGGAGGAAGGUGUUGUGGUUAAUAACCGCAGCAAUUGCGUUACCCGCAAAAGAAGCACCGGCUAACUCCGUGCCAGCAGCCGCGGUAAUACGGAGGGUGCACGCGUUAAUCGGAAUUACUGGGCGUAAAGCGCACGCAGGCGGUCUGUCAAGUCGGAUGUGAAAUCCCCGGGCUCAACCUGGGAACUGCAUUCGAAACUGGCAGGUUGGAGUCUUGUACAGGGGGGUAGAAUUCCAGGUGUAGCGGUGAAAUGCGUAGAGAUCUGGAGGAAUACCGGUGGCGAAGGCGGCCCCCUGGACAAAGACUGACGCUCAGGUGCGAAAGCGUGGGGAGCAAAAGGAUUAGAUACCCUGGUAGUCCACGCCGUAAACCAUGUCGAUUUGGAGGUUGUGCCCUUGAGGCGUGGCUUCCGGAGCUAACGCGUUAAAUCGACCCCCUGGGGAGUACGGCCGCAAGGUUAA
rnacentral:rRNA from 1 species